CUUUCUCAGCACCAGCACAUUCCAAUAAAAUGUAGACAGAAUAAUCCUCUCAAGAAGCAACAGGUCAAGAUUUAAUCCACAAAGCCAGAAAGCAAUACAGUUAAAGAAUUCAAACAAAACUUGCUCAUUCUAAACUAAGUUAUAAGGCACCUGGUUCCUCCAAGGCGGUGCAAUGCUACAGGAUGCUGCAUCUCAGCAUAGUCACGUCAGGAGAGCCACUUUGAUAAGCCAACUGAUCAUCUGACCAUCGAACCAAGCGGGUACAGGAAUUUCAAGAUGCUUUGCAACCUCGUAAAGAAUUAUUCACCUACUCCCCCAAAUUAAUUAUCCAAGAAGGUCAUCUUGGUUGCCUCGAACAUCCCAUAAUUAGAAAUAAAUCUUCUAUAAACAUCUGUGACCAAGGUUUUGGUGUGGACAUUAGUUUUACAGUACUCUGGAUAAAUACCAACACAUACAAUUACUGGAUAAUAUGUUAAAAGGUGUCUGGACCAGGAAGAUCCCGUGCAAUGCUCACAUCAAAAGUCUGUAAACCAGUGUAAUCCCAGUUAUGUAAUGGCAUUUUUAAAAAAGUUCUUCACAGAGCUCUUUCUUAAAUAAUGUGUGUGUGCAGUCUAUCCAUACUUGUCUCAGAUAUUCCAUAAAUGUUUGUCAAGUGAAUUAGUAAUUGAUUAUCACUGAACACAUAUUAAUAAUCAUAGCAUAAUAAAUUACUAUAUCAAGUAAAGACUAUGGUCCUGCCAAUAAAUAUCAUGCAGCUUGCAUUUAACAGGCUUUUAUUUCAUCACAAAUAUAUGUGAUCAAAGAACACAAAGUUACUCUUUAGGGCACAUUGUUAACAUCAUUAUUAUAUCAUUAUUUCAAGAUGUUCAUCGUGAACCCUUGGGUAAGGUAAUGUUUGUAGGUUUGUCCAUUGUAAAAUCUCUAUAUAGAGAUACUUUGAUACUAAACAAAUAUCCUGUCCCCUCUUAAACUUUUAUCUAUAAUUCCACCCACUAAGUCAUUCUUCUAGAUCAACAGAGUUUGAAAUACUUCUAUUGGAUAAUAGGAAAGUUAGAAAUUUCUCCUGGAAAAAUAAACUAUCCUGACAGAACAUAAGAGAUAUAGGAAAAAAUACAUAAUUUCAAUAAAGCUCAAGAAUUCUGUCUGUUCUUUGGGUGUUUUAGUAAAAAGCAAAUAAAUGGCUUUUGCUUGAAUGUAUCCAGAUAAUGGGUAAGUUGAAUAUUACAAGUUGAAUAACCAAGGUGUAAGGGUAUGUGCUUUGUCAGCAUUGCAAACAUAAAUUUCAGUAUCUAACAUCUUUUGUGAUGUGAAACAUUUCUUCUCCACUAAUGCCCUUCUGCUGUGAAUAAUUAAAUGAUUCAAAUU